CGGACGGGUGAGUAACGCGUGGGUAACCUGCCUUGUACUGGGGGACAACAGUUAGAAAUGACUGCUAAUACCGCAUAAGCGCACAGUAUCGCAUGAUACCGUGUGAAAAACUCCGGUGGUACAAGAUGGACCCGCGUCUGAUUAGCUAGUUGGUAAGGUAACGGCUUACCAAGGCGACGAUCAGUAGCCGACCUGAGAGGGUGACCGGCCACAUUGGGACUGAGACACGGCCCAA
rnacentral:rRNA from 1 species